GUGAAAUUAGAAACAGUCUACCUUCAGGCGGCACAGCUCAAUAGGAGGUUCAUGCUGCCUCUUAAUAUCUUAGAUGGCCCUUGUACUCAUGCCUAAUGGUAUUUACAUAGAGAGGAAAAUUGUAAUUGGCAAAGUAGGUGCCUCUCUUAAAGGACCAACUGUAUGAUAAAACGAUGCACCGAAUUAUAUACACUGCUGCAUGGUAAUUUUUGAAUACUGUAGUUUCAAGAUUCAGUAUAGCUGCAUGUUUACAGCAUAAUUCUUGAAAUUGGAGCAUAGCUGUCAUAUAGGCCCUAACAUCGGAGCUAUGGUGGUUAAGUUUUCAGCGUAAUUGUGCAGAGUAGUGGCUUCUGGGAGAAAAAGGCAGAUAAUAAUUAAGGUUGUGUCCGAAUCCACCUUAGGCCCAUCUUUUACUUUGGAGCCUCAAACCUGUGGAGUUUGUUGUCAUGGAUGUAGACAAACAUUCAGAAACAGUACCAGCCAAACAAAGUGGGAAACAAUUAUUAUGGGUAUACUUCCUGUGAAGUCUUUGAAGAAAAAAUGGCACGAAAAACCAGAAGCUGGAGGGUCAUUUGAAGGUGAAGUUGUACCUGACAAAAAAAAUACCCAACACUCUUGAUGGUUCCCUCAUUGCGGAAGCUUUGGGAAGACCAGGGGAAGAAACGGCGGCUCCGUUUCUGAAAUGGACACCUCCGCAUGGCCAAAUUCUUUAAGAGUGAAUAAGUGAAGACCAAUUGAUACUGAACUAAUCCGAAAGGUAUUUCAAGAAGAGGCCCAAAGCCAACUUCUCAGGAAGUUCACAAACACGAGAUCCCAGCUGAUUCCGGAAGAUCCAGGAGCAGGAGACUACAUGCAAGCGAUGCUGGUGAUCGAAGCGACAAUGCAAGUGGAGGUUCCAGAUUCCUAGACGAGCCAGCAUAGAGCAGUUACAGUUGCAGUUGAACAAGGAUCAAGGAGCUGUAUUGGUGCACAAGCCAAUGUAAUGGCUCCACAACACCGGCGCCCACCUCAGCUGUCUUCUCGUGCCGUCGUAACCAUUGCAGGCACCAUUGCAAGUAUCACAACGCAGCAGCCCACUAUCUGCAGUUCCUCCCCACAAUUAUUCAUCAGGUGAAGAAGAUAAUUGCCCUAGCUGUCAAGACAAGAUAAACAUCCCCAGCGGCAUCCAUUGGACAGUGGAUAGUCGCUGGGUGUAUCUACUUUGACAAACAUGCAGCAUGACGGUUGCUUGGACCCUACCCAACUUGUUAAGAAACUCUGCAAGUCUUAGGCACCUGGAUCUGUAGACAUUCCUGAGGAAGCAGACAUCUACACGAUCAUGGUGCAACAUACCAGAGCCAGAAAUAUUUUUGAAAAUUUAUUUGCUAUAAGAAUACAUUCAUUUGAAUAACUUCACUCUUUUACAUACAAUAUUUUAUGCUUUACAACUAUUAUAACUCAGAUUGGCCCAGCUAAAAGACUAUGUACCUAAAUUUCAACCUUCACAAAACAUUUUAAAAAUAAAUAAAAACAAUUCUGAAAAUGUUUGCCUGAUAUUGCUAAAAGAUGUAUGUAUAUUUUUUAAAUUUUCAAUUUUAAAUGUAAAUUUAAUUGGGCAAUAAUUCCUGAAAAAAGUAAUAGUUAGAACUUUUACUUAGCUUUAUUGAUUAAUUGAUUUAUUUAUUUAUUUUUUCUUGCUAGGGACCCUGAAAAACUGUAAAUAAAAUAGUUCAAAAGUGGUGUUAAAAUAUGGUAAAAGCAAUGCAAAGAAGUCUUUACUAAAAUAUAAAAGCAGUGCAAAAGAUUCGUGUAAAAAUUUCAAUGUUACUUUAAACACAGUAUGAAUGUUCAUUUUUGCCUUUUAUACCCUUAAAAAUUAGAGGUAUGCGAGUACUCGAAAAUCGAGCUCGAGCCGAGUACUUACUUCAAGCUCGAGCUCGGCAAAAAAAAAUUGUUAGACUCGAUAAUUUCGAGCUUCCAACAGCAGCAAGUUAUUUGGCCGGAAAGCAUUUUGACGGUGUUUUACUAUUUACGGAAGAAAAUACAGUAAAACUCGCUUACGACGGUCCCGCAUGUCCACGUCGAGCAGAGAACUGGCGAGAUGACACCACUGCCUCCAGCCAAACAGGGAGGAGGGAGCAGCAUGACUUCCCCGACCAAUCACAACAUAGCUCUCACAAAGGAACCAAUCACAACAUAUUUCACCACCAAAAAAACUUCCAGAAGCUCUUGCAUGUUUAAUAAAAUUACAUUUUUUUCCUA